rnacentral:lncRNA from 1 species
UAGAAAUACCUGUGUUGAUGGCUUCUCACGUUUGUUUCAAUUAUUUUCCAUGCAGAUAAUUAAGAUAAGCCUCAGAUGUAUUUGGUUUGGAUAUAUCAUCUACAGCGUGUGAUCCGAAGGCCAUGAAAUUCCCCAAAAGGGGCAGAUACAACCAUGGUGGACAGAGGCAAGCACCUGGAAGUUGACAUUCCUUCAUCUAACAAGCAAUACGAGUAUGGUAAUUAUACAGGAUUUACGAAUGUCUUCCAUUUCCCUCCCUCAGUAUUAAAAACUGCAUUUUCCAAUGUUAAAGGUUUUUUUGUUUUAUUCACAUUGAGCUGUGAAUUUAAUCAACACAACAUUUCUAGAUGUACUACAUGUUAAGCUCUAGUACGUAUGAAGAUCUGUGUUAACGGAAGAUUCAGAAGAGCAGAAGGGUACUGUCAACCUAGUAAGGACACUGAGUUAACAUUACUACUGCAGAUGUUGAGAUGCAAGAAAGACUUCAGGUAGUCCAAUUUGGAAGCAAUACGGAAGAACAUGCUUAAUAAUGUUGGGGAAUCUUCCUGCAUAGGUUUACAAAUACGAGUUGGGAAAAAUAUGCAGGUGUUGUAGAAGAUAGGUAUCUGUGUUUCAUUAGGAGGAUUUUUCAAUAAGUUCAUUUUCUUGUAAAACUUGUGCUG